ensembl:lncRNA
CCGCUGCCCCGCCCGGUCGGAGGCGCGGUGCCCGCCGGGGCGGCCGUGGCCGGCAGGGUCUGGCUGUGCGCGGGGAGCUCGCGGCUGCUCUGGAAACGGCCCGGGCUGUGAGUGCGGUGAGACAGGGAGUGCCCGUCCCAGCUUGGUCGUGCCAUGGAGCACAGCGGGGCCCGGGCACUGAGCCUGGAUGGAUGGUCCAGUGGAAGCCUGUGAUGGAUCUCCCUGGCCAGGAGAGUCCCCUGCAGCGAAGCUUAGGCUGUCCUCCAGAUCCCCACGAGUCUUUGUGAUCAAUAGCACUGUCCACAGUCUUUACCAGGACUUUGGAGAGACAAACUCAUCUUUUAUCUUGAAUUUAUGGGUGCAAAUCAAACAAAUCUCAUUGCUCAGGCAUGGCAUAGUUACAGAGGAGUUUUCAGCACCCCACUGUUAAAUUCAGCAAAUGACAAUGUGUUGCAUGUCUCAAGCUGAAAUACUAUUCAUAUAUUUGUUUCUGUAUUUCUUGGUCCAAUUCUACUGCUAUGUAGAGAAAAAACACACUUCCAUUUUUCUGAAGGUUGUAUUAGAAUAACCACUUUAACUUACUGUGAAAAUCAAUGCUAUUUUUAGUAUCUGAGUUCUUGAAGGUAAAUGAGAUUUGCACUGGAAACAAGAUCUGUUUUCCAACAAAUUUCUUGAGAUGCUCUCAUCUCUAGAGAAGCUGUUUUAAUUUUUUUGGUGAAGAUUAGGGAAGCUAAUCACACCCUGCGAGCAGGUAGGUAACUUUUAUUUACAAAAUCAUUGGUUACACAUAGAAUGUGGUGGGAUAUUAUAUUGUUGAGUUGGGUGGAGGUGGUUUUUUUCCAAAUAUACGCAUUUCAAGAAUUGAAAGCACACAUUUUUAUCUAAAUUCUGACUGUUACCAUAUUUGAGCAACUGUUCAGAUGUGCUAGUCAGGCUUUUGAGGAAAACUGGCCAUGUUCUCCCACAGUUGUCAUGUAUCUGUCACACUAACACCAGCUAGGAAAAUCAAAUUGGAAACAUCCUGUUACGAGCUGUGAACAUCCUUUGCAGCAGUGUCAUUUGCGUCAGAAAGGCUGCUAUUGUUUUCAAAUGUCAAUAUUCAUUUUAAGUGGAAGAGAAAGGCAAAGCAGUCUUUUGUUGAAAGUUAGCCCAUUCAUGAGUGCAGUGAGGAAAACACAAACGGAGGCACAAAAAUCAGGCGAGAUUUAGAUCCUUCAAGUGCUUCCAUGUACCUUCCACCAAGACACUGUGGGUAGAUACAGCUCUUAUAAACUUCCUUACACUCUUUCAAAACUCUACCUAGCCAAAAGGCAUAAAUAGACAUCUACAAUGAAGUGCAUACAUUUCUAUGGUCACUAAUUUAAUUUUUAAAGUGGCAAGUAUGGCCUAAAGUCUUCCCAUGAUGGUCCUUUCAGAUACUCAUCCUCCCAGUCCAUGUGUUUAGAAAACAGACAAUUCUGUAAGCUAUUCGUUCUUCUAGCAUUUAAGGAAGAGUUAUUCUCCUGAUAAGAGAAAGGACAUAUUCACUUAAAAAAAGUGAAUAAAUAAUUUCACACACAGGAACA